GAUGAACGCUGGCGGCGUGCCUAAUACAUGCCAGUCGAGCGAACGGACGAGAAGCUUGCUUCUCUGAUGUUAGCGGCGGACGGGUGAGUAACACGUGGAUAACCUACCUAUAAGACUGGGAUAACUUCGGGAAACCGUAGCUAAUACCGGAUAAUAUUUUGAACCGCAUGGUUCAAAAGUGAAAGACGGUCUUGCUGUCACUUAUAGAUGGAUCCGCGCUGCAUUAGCUAGUUGGUAAGGUAACGGCUUACCAAGGCAACGAUGCAUAGCCGACCUGAGAGGGUGAUCGGCCACACUGGAACUGAGACACGGUCCAGACUCCUACGGGAGGCAGCAGUAGGGAAUCUUCCGCAAUGGGCGAAAGCCUGACGGAGCAACGCCGCGUGAGUGAUGAAGGUCUUCGGAUCGUAAAACUCUGUUAUUAGGGAAGAACAUAUGUGUAAGUAACUGUGCACAUCUUGACGGUACCUAAUCAGAAAGCCACCGCUAACUACGUG
rnacentral:rRNA from 1 species